rnacentral:misc_RNA from 1 species
AAGUCGUAACAAGGUAACCGUAGGUGAACCUGCGGUUGGAUCAUUAAUUAUCCAGCCGGUUGAAAGUCCGGCGGGGGUGAGUAGCACAGCUUGCUGUUGCUUCUCCCCCUAUAUCAAAUCAACCUAUGUGAACCGAUCCGUCUCUGGCGAGGGGGUAGUAAUUAAAACCUACUACUUGUCAGUAAGUGCCGUGUGCAUUUGCCGUGGACACCUCGUCAACAGGUCUUACACCUUUGCUUUAUUUUGAUUGUCUGACAUAACAUGUAUAAAUAUACAAAACAACUUUUGGCAACGGAUCUCUUGGCUCUC